AAACAAUACAAUAAACUAAAUAAAUAUUUAAAUAAACCAAAUUCUAUUACUGUAUAACUUUUCUCUUUUUCGAAUUUCCCUGGGUUGAGCAUGGGCCGUCUAUGUAUGCGUGAAUAAGUGAGCUCGGGUAACUUCGGGCAUCUCCACCGCACAGACUCUGUACAUACUUGUGUUUCUUAUACGGCUUCCACAGACUGACAACACUUACGACAAGAGAGACACGUUUGUCUCUUGUGAUAUUAUUUAUUUAAUUAUUAUGGCUUGAAGAGGUCCCCACCAGGGAGAAACGUUGCCAUUUAUUUAUGAAUUUGAGUUAAAGAAAAUUUUUUUUGAGAAACCAGGGUUAUCCCACCACUUUUGUCCGUCCAAAAACUUUAUUCUAAAAAUAUGGAUGGGAAUAAUAACAUUCUUUGUCCAAUUUACUUGCUUAGCAGUGUUAUUAAGUUUUUGUAAUUGUAAUGAUAAAAGUCUCCUUCUAACUGUUUGUUAUCUUGUUUUAGUGUUCGAUUUUUUAAUUCCAAGUAUAGUGGAUAAUGAUCAGUAAUAGGUGGCAUAAGUGUUAGCAAUUUAGUAUUCAGGAAGUUAGUUUUAAUAAAGAUAUUAUCAAUA